rnacentral:rRNA from 1 species
UGGGGAAUAUUGGACAAUGGGCGAAAGCCUGACGCAGCCAUGCCGCGUGAAUGAUGAAGGUCUUAGGAUUGUAAAAUUCUUUCACCGGGGACGAUAAUGACGGUACCCGGAGAAGAAGCCCCGGCUAACUUCGUGCCAGCAGCCGCGGUAAUACGAAGGGGGCUAGCGUUGCUCGGAAUUACUGGGCGUAAAGGGAGCGUAGGCGGAUAGUUUAGUCAGAGGUGAAAGCCCAGGGCUCAACCUUGGAAUUGCCUUUGAUACUGGCUAUCUUGAGUACGGAAGAGGUAUGUGGAACUCCGAGUGUAGAGGUGAAAUUCGUAGAUAUUCGGAAGAACACCAGUGGCGAAGGCGACAUACUGGUCCGUUACUGACGCUGAGGCUCGAAAGCGUGGGGAGCAAACA